AAAGGCGUAAUGAAAGUGAAGGUCCGCCCUGCGCGGACCGAGGGAGGAUGGGUGGACCCGAGGGGCCGCCCCGCACUCCCGGGGCGUCUCGUUCUCAUCGCGAGAAGAGGCGCACCCAGAGCGUACACGCUGGGACCCGAAAGAUGGUGAACUAUGCCUGGUCAGGACGAAGUCAGGGGAAACCCUGAUGGAGGUCCGUAGCGAUUCUGACGUGCAAAUCGAUCGUCGGAACUGGGUAUAGGGGCGAAAGACUAAUCGAACCAUCUAGUAGCUGGUUCCCUCCGAAGUUUCCCUCAGGAUAGCUGGCGCUCGCUUCUUGCGAGUCUCAUUCGGUAAAGCGAAUGAUUAGAGGCAUUGGGGUCGAAACGGCCUCAACCUAUUCUCAAACUUUAAAUGGGUGAGAUCUCCGGCUUGCUUGAACUGUGAAGCCGCGAGAUAUCGGAUCAGAGUGCCAAGUGGGCCACUUUUGGUAAGCAGAACUGGCGCUGUGGGAUGAACCAAACGCCGAGUUAAAGCGCCUAAAUCGACGCUUAUGGGA
rnacentral:rRNA from 2 species